rnacentral:rRNA from 1 species
UACGGGGGGAGCAAGCGUUGUUCGGAUUUACUGGGCGUAAAGGGCGCGUAGGCGGCCACCGCAAGUCGACUGUGAAAUCUCCGGGCUUAACCCGGAAAGGUCAGCCGAUACUGCGGGGCUAGAGUGCAGAAGGGGCAACUGGAAUUCUCGGUGUAGCGGUGAAAUGCGUAGAUAUCGGGAGGAACACCAGUGGCGAAGGCGGCGACCUGGACAGAUAUUGACGCUGAGGUGCGAAAGCGUGGGGAGCGAACAGG